rnacentral:lncRNA from 1 species
GGCCUUUAAGAAAACAUGGAAGACAAUUCAUGUUUGAAAAAUGCUGACAGGGUGAAGAAAGCCCAUGUAAAAAUGAAUCGCGUUUUAAGUGAUUCGGUUAAAGGGUUUGGGCUCCCGUAGCAAACUAAUACUAGAUAAUAAGGAAAUGGGGGUGAAUAUUUUUUUAUUGUUGUUAAAUCAUUUUGUGAAUGUCCCCCUCAAAAGAAGCUAAUGGAAUAUUUGGCAUAAAGGGCAUUUGGUGGUUUUUGUUGGGGGUGGGGGGGG